GAGCUACUCCAAGACAGCCUCUAAGGGCGCACCCGUCUCUGUGGCAAAAGAGUGGGAAGAUCUUUGAGUAGGGGUGACAGACCUACCGAACUUGGUUAUAGCUGGUUGCCCAGGAAAUGAAUAGGAGUUCAGCCUUUUGUCCCCUCUCCGCACAUUCAAUCGAUUCUUAUCCUCGAAGCGCCUGAGUAAGACAAUGGAGUUAGUCAAAGGGGGAACAGCCCCUUUGAAAAAGAUACAACUUUACCAGAAGGGUUAAGAUCAUAACUCUCUACAAGGGAAUGUGUUCUAGUUGGCCUAAGAGCAGCCACCCAUACAGAAAGCGUUAAAGCUCAAGCACCUCCCCCUCCCCUAUUAUCCAGACCAUACAAUCUUACCCCCCUUAUCAUACUGAGCCCUCCCAUACCUCUAUGGGAGAGAUUAUGCUAAAAUGAGUAAUAAGAGACCAUUGAAUCUCUCCCUGCACAAGUGUACAUCGGAACGAACCAACACCGAAAACUAACGGCCCCAAAAACAGAGGGCACUGAAAUACAAUGACCGACCACGAGAAAACCAUCCACCUCGCAUGAACCGUUAACCUUACACUAGACUGCCCACAAGGAAAGACUAAAA
rnacentral:rRNA from 1 species